CGUCAGCUCGUGUCGUGAGAUGUUGGGUUAAGUCCCGCAACGAGCGCAACCCUUGAUCUUAGUUGCCUACAUUUAGUUGGGCACUCUAAGGAACUGCCGGUGACUAAGCCGGAGGAAGGUGGGGAUGACGUCAAAGUCAUCAUGGCCCCUUAUGACGCUGGGCUACACACGUGCUACAAUGGAUGGUGACAAAGGGCAGCAAACUCGCGAGAGUGCAAGCCAAUCCCAUAAAAGCCAGUCUCAGUUCGGAUUGUAUCUGCAACUCGCCGAGCAUGAAGGCGGAAUCGCUAGUAAUCGCGGAUCAGCAUGCCGCGGUGAAUACGUUCCCGGCCUUGUACACACCGCCCGUCACACCACGGAGAGUUGGUUACACCCGAAGUCGGUGGAGUAACCGUAAGGAGCUAGCCGCCUAAGGUGGGACAGAUGAUUGGGGUGAAGUCGUAACAAGGUAACC
rnacentral:rRNA from 1 species